rnacentral:lncRNA from 1 species
GCCCCGCAGCCAAGUUAGCCAAAGCAGCCCAGGGCCGCCGCCCAGCGCCCCCGAGCCCCGAGGAGAGCCGUCGCGACCGGGGGCUGCCUGGGCAAGGGCGGGGCGAGAGGGCAGAACGCCUGCUCUCGGACAGAUCUGGGGACCCUUCACCUGCCUCUACUACUGCAAAUGAUUGGAUAUUCGUCUGACUUGGCUCUUCCCUAAUGUGUGGAACUAAUUUUGUUCACUCUGUUUCAUGCUGGACCUGGCCUGAAAAUGGGCCCUUAUAUUGUCUUUGCACUUUCCAACUUGCCAAGGCCUUCUGCAAGAGAGAUCUAAGAACCAGCCCUCAAAGAUGUUUCUGAAAGAAGGACCAAAGUAAUGCCAAGAACUCCCAGAUGAAGAGGACCUUCCUUAGACCUAUAACAGAUUCACUACUUGACUUCAGAGGGAAGUUUCAGCUAAUUCUCAGGAAAAGGUCAAAACAGGCCUGUGACUGUCCCUUGAAUACUGAAGGUAUAAACAAGCUUCUGGCUCCUCCAGGUCAAGCAGAGGAACACUUUUAUUAGAAUGAAGGGUUACUUCUUUGUUAUUCAAACACACACCCACACACAUCCUCUGUAGUCUCCCUAAUGAAAAACCUCAACAGAUGGAGAGCCUGAGCUCCCAAGUCCGCAGGCUGAGAAGAUGCACUUCACUCAAGGGCCAGUGGGCUGGUACAGACUAGGGAAGAGAAAAGGGACAAAGGCUGCUAGUAUAGGUAAUCACUAUCUUUUAAUACUCCUAACACAUAGAAAUUCGAAAAAUCUUGUUCAGCAAUGUUAGCAGCCUGUGAGCCUCGGAAACUAAUUUGGCUGAUGUGUCUCUGAUAGGGAGCUUGGGGCUGCACCAAGGGGAAACAUUCUCCUCCUGUAUUCUCUCCUCUCUCUCGUUUGAAAGCCUGUACAAAGAAAUGGUACAAAUGGAUGGUUAACUUAAUGAUUCCAUCAGAGGCAGAUUUUUCUCUGUCAGGUCCCUGGAUAAGGUGGAGGUCUGAAAGCCAGGAGACAGAAUAUGUACUUAAUCGCCCUUUCUGACCUGCUUACCAGUGACCAGGACUACUCUCCAGGCCUUUCUUCUGCCACUUCCCCAUUCUUCCUGGCUAGUUCAGUUGGGUCUCAGCACUUCAACUCCUGGCUGGAUCCUGAGUUUUUCUUGGUUGCAGGGAAAGCUCUCACUGUCUGCAUCUCCUUCCCCACCCCCACCUCCCGUUUUGCAGCUGGCCAUUCUGGCUGCCUCACAGCUAUCCUGCCUUAAUUCAUAUUUGAUUGCCUGGACAGAACCACCUAGAAUGUCCAGACGACUGCCACCCCUCAGCCAUGGGCCUGAGAUCCUGCCCUGACCCCUUUCUUCAGACCCCAGGAGGACCCACAAUCUCCCUGAUCCCCACCUUCCCCAAAGUAGUCUCUAGGAAAAAAGCAGAGCUGGCUAAGGCCUGAGACAGAGCCAUUUCUUCCCCUUGGGCAAACGAGGUAGACCCUCCCAGAGACCAAUGCCGGAGAGGCCCGGAUCCGAGCUCCCUUUAUAUGGCCUCCCCCAUCACGGAUCCCGUGGGAAAACCUGACACACAAUGGCGCGGCUG